CUCGCGCAAUUAAAGUUGUAGAGUUGGGUUCUACUAAUGAGCUUGAUAUUGGAAAAGGAAAAAAUCAAGUUGGCUCAUUAAAAAAAGCAGGUGAUACAUGAUAGGGCUCGCAUUUGAGGUCUUUUCGUAACUUACUUGAUUUGUGGAAUCCGACUCUCAAAGCUCUAGGUGAGAUAAUUAAUAAAGGCGGCACCUCAUCCCAAAGGGUCUUAGCUAAUGGAGCUUAUGA
rnacentral:lncRNA from 1 species